rnacentral:rRNA from 1 species
CGUAGGCGGCUUGGCAAGUGGAUGGUGAAAUCCCUCGGCUUAACCGAGGAACUGCCGUCCAAACUGCUUUGCUUGAGGCCGGGAGAGGCGAGUGGAAUUCCCAGUGUAGCGGUGAAAUGCGUAGAUAUUGGGAGGAACACCAGUGGCGAAGGCGGCUCGCUGGACCGGUUCUGACGCUGAUGCGCGAAAGCGUGGGGAGCAAACG